rnacentral:rRNA from 1 species
GACGUAGGGCGCGAGCGUUGUCCGGAUUUAUUGGGCGUAAAGAGCUCGUAGGCGGCUUGUUGCGUCGACCGUGAAAACCCGCGGCUUAACUGUGGGCUUGCGGUCGAUACGGGCGGGCUGGAGUUCGGUAGGGGAGACUGGAAUUCCUGGUGUAGCGGUGAAAUGCGCAGAUAUCGGGAGGAACACCAAUUGCGAAGGCAGCUCGCUGGGACGUCACUGACGCUGAGACGCGAAAGCGUGGGGAGCAAACAGG